rnacentral:rRNA from 1 species
AUUAGCCAUGCAUGUCUCAGUACUAACCGCUUUAAGGCGAAACCGCGAAUGGCUCAUUAAAUCAGUUAUGGUUCCUUGGAUCUUACCCACACUUACAUGGAUAACUGUGGUAAUUCUAGAGCUAAUACAUGAACCUCGUACCCCGACCAGUGAUGGAAGGGGUGCUUUUAUUAGAACAAAACCAAUCGGUCGGUCUUCCGUCCGUUGCCUUGGUGACUCUGAAUAACUUUUGGCUGAUCGCACGGUCGUUGCACCGGCGACGCAUCUUUCAAAUGUCUGCCUUAUCAACUUUCGAUGGUAGGUUCUGCGCCUACCAUGGUUGUAACGGGUGACGGGGAAUCAGGGUUCGAUCCCGGAGAGGGAGCCUGAGAAACGGCUACCACAUCCAAGGAAGGCAGCAGGCGCGCAAAUUACCCACUCCCGGAACGGGGAGGUAGUGACGAAAAAUAACGAUACGGGACUCAUCCGAGGCCCCGUAAUCGGAAUGAGAACACUUUAAAUCCUUUAACGAGGAUCUAUUGGAGGGCAAGUCUGGUGCCAGCAGCCGCGGUAAUUCCAGCUCCAAUAGCGUAUAUUAAAGUUGUUGCGGUUAAAAAGCUCGUAGUCGGAGGUGUGUCUCGGACGGUCGGUUCGCCGCUUGUCGGUGCUCAACUGGCCGGUCCGGACGUCCUGCCGGUGGGGCCGCGAGGCUCCGUUAUCCUUCUUUGGUCCUCUUCACCGAGUGCCUUGGUGGGCCGGCACGUUUACUUUGAACAAAUUAGAGUGCUCAAAGCAGGCCGUUGGUCGCCUGAAUACUGUGUGCAUGGAAUAAUGGAAUAGGACCUCGGUUCCAUUUUGUUGGUUUUCAGAACUCGAGGUAAUGAUUAAUAGGGACGGACGGGGGCAUUCGUAUUGCGACGUUAGAGGUGAAAUUCUUGGAUCGUCGCAAGACGAACCGAUGCGAAAGCAUUUGCCAAGAACGUUUUCGUUGAUCAAGAACGAAAGUUAGAGGUU